rnacentral:rRNA from 1 species
UACGAAGGGGGCUAGCGUUGCUCGGAAUCACUGGGCGUAAAGCGCACGUAGGCGGAUCUUUAAGUCAGGGGUGAAAUCCUGGAGCUCAACUCCAGAACUGCCUUUGAUACUGGGGAUCUCGAGUCCGGAAGAGGUGAGUGGAACUCCGAGUGUAGAGGUGAAAUUCGUAGAUAUUCGCAAGAACACCAGUGGCGAAGGCGGCUCACUGGCCCGAUACUGACGCUGAGGUGCUAAAGCGUGGGGAGCAAACAGG